AUUGAACGCUGGCGGCAGGCCUAACACAUGCAAGUCGAACGAGUGGCGGACGGGUGAGUAAUGUCUGGGAAACUGCCUGAUGGAGGGGGCUAACUACUGGAAACGGUAGAUAAUACCGCAUACCAUCGGAUGUGCCCCGAUGGGAUUAGCGAGUAGGUGGGGUAACGGCUCACAUAGGCUACGAUCCCUAGCUGGUCUGAGAGGGUGACCAGCCACACUGGAACGGAGACACGGUCCAGACUCCUGCGGGAGGCAGCAGUAGGGAAGAUUGCACAAUGGGCGCAAGCCGGACGCAGCCAUGCCGCGUGAAUGAAGAAGGCCUUCGGGUUGUAAAAUACUUUCGGCGGGGAAGCGUUACCCACAGAAGAAGCACCGGCUAACUCCGUGCCAGCAGCCGCGGUAAUAC
rnacentral:rRNA from 1 species